UACGUAGGGUGCGAGCGUUGUCCGGAAUUAUUGGGCGUAAAGAGCUCGUAGGCGGUGUGUCGCGUCGGCCGUGAAAACCUGGGGCUUAACUCUGGGCGUGCGGUCGAUACGGGCAUCACUAGAGUUCGGCAGGGGAGACUGGAAUUCCUGGUGUAGCGGUGAAAUGCGCAGAUAUCAGGAGGAACACCGGUGGCGAAGGCGGGUCUCUGGGCCGAUACUGACGCUGAGGAGCGAAAGCAUGGGGAGCGAACAGG
rnacentral:rRNA from 1 species